GGAAGAUUGGCAGAGCGGUUUAAUGCACAUGUCUUGAAAACAUGCGGGGGUUAAUAGCCCUCCCUGGGUUCGAAUCCCAGGUCUUCCACCA
rnacentral:tRNA from 1 species